UCGAUUAUUAUUCAUCAUCUGAUAGAGUAUCGCGCAACAACUGAAUUCGGUUAAAAAUGAAUUUUCGUUAUAUUUCCAUUUUAAUUGUGGUGAUAUGGCUUUUAUGCCAAGGACCAAUUGUGGAAGCGUUUGUUGGUUUAAUUGCUGGCAUUGCUCGAGUGGCUGCGAGGGGCGCACGCAAUCAUGACCGAGCUGGGAAAGCAGGAAAGUAGGAAAAUAUAAUAAAGGGUCAUUGAAGGAAAUAUGCUGUAAAAUAGUUGCAAGUGUUAAAUAAAAAAUUUAAAAAAAAUUUUUAAAAAUAAUUCUUAAAAAAAGUUCAUAUCGACUCAACUUAAUCUAAAAAUAAAAAUAAAUAUUAAAAGGAA